UACCAGCUCCCCGAGUGGUCAGGACGUUUAUUGGGCCUAAAGCAUCCGUAGCCAGCUCCGUAGGUCUCUCGUUAAAUUCAAUGGCUUAACCGUUGAGCUGCGAGAGAUACCGCAGGGCUAGAAGGCGGGAGAGGCGGACGGUACUCCGUGGGUAGGGGUAAAAUCCUUUGAUCCACGGAAGACCACCAGUGGCGAAGGCGGUCCGCCAGAACGCGCUUGACAGUGAGGGAUGAAAGCUGGGGGAG
rnacentral:rRNA from 1 species